rnacentral:rRNA from 1 species
UAUGGCCAGACCACCCUGAACGUGCCCAGUCUCGUCUGAUCUCGGAAGCUAAGCAGGGUCUGGCCUGGUUCGUACUUGGAUGGGAAACCAGAGAAGUAGGGGAAAGCCACCU